GAUUUGGCCCAUAGUCCAUCAUUUUCAGACUGCUUUUCUUCAAGUAGUAAGAACUUUUCUUUUAUGGUUACCAGGUGGUACAAAUCAUGGUAAGUGAAAUACAGUGUUAUUUUAAGAUUCUGUUUCUUAAGAAUUGGUCUCACUGAUGAAACACAGUUGUUGAAAUAUAGAAUCUUAGUGUCACAAAGGGCUGACUGCCAAUAUAUUAUUUUUGGAAAGGCAAAGGAAAAAAGGUAUAAAAAUUUUAAGGGAUGUGGAUGCAUUGAUUUAUUCUACAAAUUAUAGGUAAAUCAUGAACCAUUAGAGUAAGCAAUAAAACCCUGCAGAGAACCUUAAAUUUAUGGGGGGAAAAAAGUUAUUUUCUUUUAACGUAGCUACCAGAGUAAAUGUCAGAUUGAGAUCACAGAUUAUGUCCCCCACUUUUCCUGUCUCUUCGUUUCACCCUAUCCUGAGGCAUUUAUAAUAACUCCACAAUGAAAAAUUAUAGUCAUUUCAUUUUGAAAGAUAUAUUGCCUCCACAUGUGGGCCAAGUGAUUUAAUUUUGAUUAGUGCUGUCUGAGGCUUGUCAGAUGGGUUAGCGAUUGGUCAUGUAUCUCACAGCACUGCUAUUAAAUCCACUGGGAAUUAACAUGUUAAAUCCAUAAUUAUGCUUUAUUGCCUGUAUAAUCCUAGGUUAAUGGCAAAACGAAGUUGAUUCAUUUUUCACAUGUUCACCAAUGUGAAGUCAUAUUUUCCCCUUAACUAGUAAUUAACCUUUAUGGCUUUAUUAACUACUUUAUUAAAUUUAAGUGAAAUGUUUAUUGGAAAGAGUUCAUGGGAAGUGUAAACCACAAUGACAGUGUGGCCCCGGUGACGUCCUGUUCCCUGGAACUUCUCUAUUAAAAAGGCUCAUAUUAGAAGGAGUUCAUUUUUUGUCACAAGGUACUGGAGCUUGUAACUUAAUAGGCAGUGUGAUAAUAAAAUAAGCAGUGGAUGUGGAGUCACACAGACCUGGCACAAAAUUCAUAUCUAAUUCCUUGUUAGCUGUGUGACCUUGGGCGAGUUACCUAACACCUCUGAGUCUCAGUUUCCUUAUACAUAACCUGUGAAUAAUAAUAACCAUGCCCAGACUUUUGAGGGUUAAGGAAGUAAAUGAAAUAGUGGGGAGGAUAUAGGAGGUAGUCAAUUUGCUAUUUUUGUUGAAGCAAGAAGAUUUUGGUACUGUGUUCACAUAGGAGGAAGAAAACACGGGAGGUCAAAGGAUGGCAUCUGUUCCUAAUUUCUUCUCACCUUCCCCAGCCUCAUGGACUGGAUACAAGCCAGAGAGUUACUGUUUCUAUCUCAGAUAGCCGCGUCCAGCACAGCAGGUGGAAACGGCUGAUGAAGUGUGGAGAUAAGCAUGGGGCAGUGCUUUGGCACGAGUGGCAGUGCCCAGGAAGCGGCAGCAGAGCCCUGAUGGAGACUGAUGCAUGAU
ensembl:lncRNA